GUGUGCAUUUGCAGGAACUUGUGAGUCUCCUAUUGAAAAUAGACAGGAGACUGACAAGUUCCCGGGAACACCCACAA
rnacentral:pre_miRNA from 7 species